AACCCCAGGUCAGGCGUGGCCACCUACUGAAUUUAACCAUAUAAGUAAACGGAUAAAAAGAAACUUUCAAAGAUUGCCCUAGU
rnacentral:rRNA from 1 species